AGAAGAAAACCACGAAAAUGACAGUGAAAUGAAGGGUGCGAUUCUAUCCAAACUAAAUACAUACUGCCUUGAACUGCCUUAAUUAGUGUGAAGUAAUUAGUGUAUUAGAAGCAUGCAGGUAAAGGAGUGCUGUCUCUGUAUACUAACCAAGCCAGUGUGAGUUUAGUCCUUAGAGAAUUCAGCCGUCCCUCAAAUAGUACGGUUUCCAGUAGUUUGGUUUCGGUUUUAUGUGGAUUUUCAUAGAAGGAUUAUAGGAUUUUUGAGUUUCCCGAUGAGGAGGAAAUUUAAAAAUCCUUAAAGAUCUUCCGUAACAAUCCGUAUAAAAACGAAACCGUACUAUUUGAGGGACGAGUGUUUAUAUAAGAAGUGUAUGGUAUGGAGGUCAGGGUAUGGUGCUUCUAUAUAUGAUUAAGCUGGUGAGAAUUUAGUCCUUUGUGAAUAUAUGUAAAGUGUAAAGGUGUGUGUGUGUGUUAGGGUAUUAAAAUGUUGCUUAUUUA